AUAUUUCAUUUUCUAAGAGGAAAAAAAAAAAACAAAAAAAACCCCACCUAAACAAAAUAUGAUAAAUAUUCAGUCCAUCUGUAAAGCAAACAUUACAUAUUUCCAGUCAUCCUCAGCAUUUCUGAGGAACUCAGCAGGAUUUAAUGGGAUGGUGAUGGCUUGCUUUGGCUUCCCAACUGCUCACCAGUGCAGGGAAGUGCUCCUUUGUGUGGAUUAGAGGCAGCUCUCCCAGAACACAGCGGAACAACGUGUGCAGCGGGGGGCCAGCAGAUAGAAAGGAGGUUUCAUCAUCUUCUAUCUGCAGCCCUUUAAUAUCAAGAGACUUCCACAAAACUUAAAAUGAGUCUUUGAAAUAUUCCGUGCUGUGGAGGUAGAAAGGUACAAUAAAUAAUAUUUCUCUUUUUCCUCGUGUGGAAUGGAGAGAUAAAGCUAUUUAUAAAACUGUAAAGGCUUACAAAUCAUUCUAACAGGUUGUCAUAUGUUAAUGUCAGCGAGAAUUUAAUCACCCAAAGUAAAAAAUCUAUAUUUUUUUCUCCAAUCCUAUCUUAUUUUCGUAACUCUCUCCAUUGACAGAUUCUCUUGUGAUGAUAGAUUAAAGGAAUGCCCAGGACCACAAAAAUGUAAAAUCAGAAAAAAUACAGGGACUGACCCAGUAGGUUGUUUUUAAACUGCAUGUCAGUUUUUUUUUUUUGUUCUUGUAGCAGUUACAGGAUCUAAUGAGGAGUCAUUGUGCUCAGCACUGUACACCUGCUGAACAAGAAAAUAAAGAGCUAAUAAAUAGAUGGACUGUGAAGAUCCAGAUUUAUAUAACAAGUGGCAAGGCUUUCUGUAUAAACCCUUUGUGGAGUUGUUGAUUCAGGAAUAAACAACCUUGCUUAGGAGCAGAACAAUUUUAUUCAUCAAUUUAUUAAUAAAGAUUUUUAUGACAGCUGCUUACCCAAAAAGCUGUUCAGUGACGGGUUUAAUUUGCCAUCUGGGACUGGAGUGCCCUGAAUUCUUUGGCUUUUAGCCACUUUCACUCCUGUUAAAAGGAGACACAUCCUCGGGCUUUCCAGGUGAUCCCACGGUGAAUUCAACUUUAUCCUCUGAACCAAAGAGGAGUUUUAGAGAAAAAUAAAGGCAUGCAUGAUGUGUAGAUUUGUGAUUUUAUAAUUUUGUUCCUAUCUCUCAGUAGGUCCAGUAUUGGUGAGGUUCUUUUCCAGAGCAUUCCUUGGUUGCCUUUACCACUCAGAUUGAAUUGGGGAAGCCUCAUGCCAGUCUUGCUGUGCUUUUUAUUAUGGAUGAGAUGGGGUGAACAUUUCUGUCCAUGUUUCCUGCAGAAGACCUUGCUCUCACCUGCACCUUCGUGCCACAGACAAAUCUUCCAGCUCACAGAACGGGAUAAUUAGAAAGGAAGAAAUUUUUAUGGUUUGACUUGGAGCUUUUCAUUGCAGUUUAUUUGAUAGUUAGAAGCAUCAGCACCUCAGAAGUUAAUGAUCUGCCUGAAAUAAUGGGGAUUUUAGAAGAUGGAAUGGUACUAAAUUAAUAAAUAUAAUAAAUAUUAACCAUUUCACUGCAAGUAUAUAGUCUUUCUGAAAAAUAAAGCUGAGAAUAAUGCUGGAUUUUCAGCUCAGAAGUAAUGGUUUCAUAUAUUACUGAGAUAUAUUUUAUUAAUGAUGAUGAUAUCCUGAACAGAGCUGUGCAUUACAUUCAUAAUGCCCAUCUGGGCUGUGCUUGCAUGUUAAUUAAAAAACUAUUCCUCUUAACGUGGGGAUGCUCCCUGUCUUCAGGCUUGGUUCAUUCAGCAAGUUUAGAACACUGAUAAGUGUGGGGAAAAUGUUUAAUAUCUGCUCCUUAAGUUUAUGGUGAAACAGUGAAAGUUUAGCACCUCCCCAGGUAAUUAGCUUCCAAUACAGAAAAUAUUUUGGGAUUCUCUAGGAUCUACUGAACAAAAUAAAAAGUAUGGUGAGAGAUGAAAUGAAUUAUAGACAAGUGAAGGAAAUGGGGAAAGUUUUAAGAGAAAUUGUUUUAUAUAGAAUAGUUAUUAUAACACUUAGUCAUUAAAACAGCAGUAAUAAAAUUAUAUUUAUAGCUGAAUAAGGAGUCUCGGUGUGAUUAAGAUAUGGAAGUAGCUAAUUGGACUGCUGAAAUAUUAGGAUAUUGAAGUGAUGAAAAGUAUACAAAUGAAAAUAAAAGUGCAUAAAAAUUAAUGAGGAGACU